AUACAAUGCCGGCGAGUGGCGCACGGGUGCGUAACACGUAUGCAACCUACCCUAUACUGGGGCAUAACCUUUAGAAAUGAGGGCUAAUACUCCAUGUAAUUAUUUUGAGGCAUCUUGAGAUAAUUAAAGAUUUAUCGGUAUAGGAUGGGCAUGCGUCCCAUUAGUUAGUUGGUAGGGUAACGGCCUACCAAGACUGUGAUGGGUAGGGGUCCUGAGAGGGUUAACCCCCACACUGGUACUGAGACACGGACCAGACUCCUACGGGAGGCAGCAGUAAGGAAUAUUGGGCAAUGGCCGUAAGGCUGACCCAGCCAUGCCGCGUGCAGGAAGACGGCCUUAUGGGUUGUAAACUGCUUUUAUGUGGGAAUAACCGUAGCUAUGCGUAGCUACCUGCAAGUACCAUAUGAAUAAGCAUCGGCUAACUCCGUGCCAGCAGCCGCGGUAAUACGGAGGAUGCGAGCGUUAUCCGGAAUCAUUGGGUUUAAAGGGUGCGUAGGCUGGUAUUUAAGUCAGUGGUGAAAUUUUCGUGCUUAACAUGAGAGCUGCCAUUGAUACUGGAUACCUUGAGUGUAUUUGAUGUGGGCGGAAUGUGUUGUGUAGCGGUGAAAUGCAUAGAUAUGACACAGAACACCGAUAGCGAAGGCAGCUCACAAAGUUACAACUGACGCUGAUGCACGAAAGCGUGGGGAUCAAACAGGAUUAGAUACCCUGGUAGUCCACGCUGUAAACGAUGAUCACUAGCUGUUGGCGAUAUACAGUCAGUGGCUAAGCUAAAGCGAUAAGUGAUCCACCUGGGGAGUACGUCCGCAAGGAUGAAACUCAAAGGAAUUGACGGGGGCCCGCACAAGCGGAGGAGCAUGUGGUUUAAUUCGAUGAUACGCGAGGACCUUACCUGGGCUUGAACGUAUGGUGCAUUUCAGUGAAAGCUGGA
rnacentral:rRNA from 1 species